GUUGGUGGUUGCGUUGGUGGUUGCGUUGGUGGUUGCUAACAGACAUGAGUGUGUCCUGUGAUUGUUGCUGGGGAGCUGAUUGAUCUGUGCCUCAACACAAUCCUGUCUCAGCUUUACGGACAAUUCCUUCGAUCUCUUGGCUUGGUUUUUGGUCUGACAUGCACUGUAAACUGUGGGACCUUAUAAAGACAGAUGGUAGUGGGGUGAAUAGGCCGUGGCUCAGGUGGUUGAGCUCCUUGACGAACUUCUUUGCCUGCCUGUGACACUGUGUGCUGUAGAUGUCCUGCUGUAGACACACUGCAAGGGUCUAUACACAUGACACAUACAUAGUUAUUGACACACACACACACACACACACUUUGCAAGGGUAUAAUGCAACAAAAAAAGACAUGUCAGUUCCAUUAAGCUUUCUCACAGCCAGACAUAUUGGCUAUUGGCACAUAUAAUGUAUAUAUACGAUACAUAUUGCAAUAUAUCUAGUAGUUUAGGCUACACUAUCAGCUGAUAAUGAAAUGAUGACUUCUCAUCAUAUCUGGAGCUUGCUGCCAUCUGCUGGCAUUGUACUAUCCAC
rnacentral:lncRNA from 1 species